UCUCAUUCUGAGUUACGCUAUGGUGGUUUUAUUGUCGCGUUCGUUUUCUUCAAGAAAACAAUUAUAUACGCAACAUCAACUUCCUGAUAAUCUGUGAGAAAGACAAUUUUUCUCGCUUGCUAGGUAAUUUCGGAAUUUUAAUUUCAAUGUAUUUGCAUUGAUACAUGCUGGAAAUUCCAUUUCUCUCAUUCUUGUUUAUUCAAGAACUUUCAAUCUUCUGCGUUAGAAAAAAAAAAAAAAACUACCCAUCAAUUUGUUCUUGAUUAUAAAAAUAUUCAAUUUUCUGUAAAUCAAAGUUUAACUGGAUAUACAUACCCUAAAAGAUUGUGAAUUGCUGCAACAUUGAAUCUUUUUUAAUAAAAGGGGUGGAAUACAUGACCAGUAACCUAACCCUAAAACGAUGUUUAUGUUCGAAGACUCUUUUUUGUUGCAACAUAUUUGCAUUGAUACAUGUUGGGAUACCAAUUUUCUCAUUCUUGGUUAUUCAUGAAAAUUCAAUUUUGCAUGAAAACAAAAAGAAUCUUAGUGUGGUAAACAUGCAAUGUCCCAAGACCCUGUUGGUAUAAAUAUUUAGAAAGGCAAUUUUUUGUGGGCUGCAAGUUUUCUCAUUCUUGGUCAUUCAAGAACAUUCAAUCUUCUGCAUGAGAAAAAAAUAUUAAAAUUGAGCAAGCAUGCUCUGUCUCAAGAUCCUAUUUGGUAUCAAUUUUUUGAAAGAAACUUUUUACCUUUUGUUACAAUGAUGGGGUUAUAUAAGAUUUUAUAAUUUUCAUUUCAACAAAAUUUUCCCUCUGGUUUAUGAUUGAACCUAUUUUCUAAUUCUUGGUUAUUCCAGAAUAUUGAAUCUUCAAGCUUGAGAUAGAAAGGAGCCUUAAUCGAGCAAAAUGUUUUGUCCUAAAAUCUUGUUUUGGACCAAGAUUCUGAGAAUUUUUUUUAUUGUGGCAAAUUUUUUGUUUGUUGUGGUAAAUUUAACUUAUGUGCAUUGAUGCCUGGAAUACUGAUUUCUCAUUCUUGAUUAAUCAAAAACAUUCAAUCUUCUGCAUGAGAAAAAAAAAACCUUGGGAAACCAAUUUUCUCAUUCUUGAUUUUUCAAGAACAUUCAUUCAAUAUUCUGCCUGGGAAAACAAACUUUAAUUGAACAAUCAUUCAAUCUUCUGCUUGAUUCUGCCUGGGAAAACAAACUUUGAUUGAGCAAUCAUUCAAUCUUCUGCUUGAGAAAAAAAAAUAUUAAAAUUGAGCGACCAUGCUCUGACCCAAGAUCCUAUUUGGUAUCAAGAUUUUGAAAGAAACUUUUUACCUUUUGUUACAAUGAUGGGGUUAUAUAAGAUUUCAUUUCAACAAAAUUUGCCCUCUGGUUUAUGAUUGAACCUAUUUUCUAAUUCUUGAUUAUUUAAGAAUAUUGAAUCUUCAAGCUUGAGAUAAAAAGGAGCCUUAAUUGAGCAAAAUGUUUUGUCCUAAAACCUUGUUUUGGACCAAGAUUCUGAGAAUUUUUUUUAUUGUGGCAAAUUUUUGUUUGUUGUGGUAAAUUUAACUUAUGUGCAUUGAUGCCUGGAAUACUGAUUUCUCAUUCUUGAUUAAUCAAAAACAUUCAAUCUUCUGCAUGAGAAAAAAAAACCUUGGGAAACCAAUUUUCUCAUUCUUAAUUUUUCAAGAACAUUCAUUCAAUAUUCUGCCUGGGAAAACAAACUUUAAUUGAACAAUCAUUCAAUCUUCUGCUUGAGAAAAAAAAAAAACAAAACAAAAAAGACUGUGAAUACAUGACCCAACCCAAAAUGCUUGAAUUGAUGGAUGCCUCAAUGGCUAUAAUUUUUUUAAUUGAUGGAUGCCUCAAUGACUGUAAUUUUUUUAAUUUAUGGAUGCUUGAAUGACUGUAGAGUGAAAAUGCAUUAUGAACUCUUUAUGCAUAAUGUAGGAACUGCAAGUGCGCUUUGUGAAUUGAUAAGUGAAAUUAUUUUCUUUUCAUUAUCUAAAAAAGGGUGGUAUACAUGAGUGCAAUGAUCCCAAAUUCAUAUAGUCUUUAUGUCCCAAAAUGAUGGAUGAUGCCUAAAUGUGAAAGCUAGUUGUGGCCUUAAAUGCAAAUUUAAUGAGUUUUCAUUCAUACUGUAAAGCAUCAAUCAAUAUCUAUUGUGCUUUGAUGACUCUAGUCCCUUUGUAACUGGAAUAUGAAGUGAUUUUGCUGAUGCAAAAUGGAGUGAGUGUUUUUGUUGUAUUAGCCUACUGAUAGGGGUUUCAUAGAAAGCCUCCAAGGAUGAAACCAAUUACUGAAGUAAAGUACAUUUACAAAUGCAACAGAAACAAACUAUUUGGAGUCUAAACUAUUUUUUACAGCAUCUGGCAUUAUUAUGUAGACGAUUUAUGUAUUACACGGAUGCAUGCAUCGAGAUCAAUGGAGGAAACCAUAACGAGGUUAAGGACCUUUUCUACGAUGAAUACUUAAUUUUGGGGAUUCAAUAGUUAGAUUUUUUCUUAGUGUAUGUUUUCAUUGGCUUUAUACUAGUUCUUUACCUCUUAUGAAUCCUAGUUUUUGGGUUACUGUUAUAGUUUUUGGCUUACCGUAGUCUUUUUAGUAUCAUUUUCCAAUUUGCUUGAAGGAUUUUUAAAAUCCAAUGAAACAAAUGGUUUGUAUUACAACCAUUUUCUGUUUAUCUACAAAAAUUGGCAAUGUCCAGAGACAUGUGACACAUAUCAUUCAUCACUUUGAAUCCAUUUGUUACCUUCACUAAAAGAUUCCUCAUCUAAAGUGAGCUCCCAUUUUAGAGUGUAACUGUAAGAUGUUACCUUUUGAUGUACAACGUGACAGUUAAUAUUUGAAAGGAGUUGCUUCUUAAUUUUCUUGAUUACGACGCCCGACAACGCCUUGCACAAAAUUUCUAUCAGUGUUUUUCCUCGGACAUUUUCCGUUUCAUGUUUAUGAUAAUAUCUUCCUUUCUGCUUAUCUACUAGGUUAUACAUCACGAGUUAUUUUAGAAAUUUAUGUAAUGAUUUGAACAUGAGGAAGUACCGUUGGGAGUUGUAUACGCUUUGGAGGAAAAUGGAAGGCGAGUCAAUAGUUACUCUUGCUCUACUAGCCCUCACAUUGACCUUACUAGCAUGGUGCAUUUCUCACUUCAGAGUUGCAUCACUUCGUGAAGGUGUUAUCUCAUGUUUGUGAAUAAGCAUAUCAUUUCUCAGUUCAGAGUUACAUCAUGUUUACUAUUCCUUUAUUUCUUAAGAGAUUUUAGUCCUAAAAAGAAAAUACAAGUUGUUUGUGUGCUCCACAUAUUAUAUUUGCUUUAUGAGUAAUAAUCAAACUGAGUGCACCAACUUGUGCUAGAACCUGGUGGUAGCUCUAGUGUUAAACUCUUUUGUGUUGUAUCUAGUUGGUUGAAGCAUGUGAAUUGAACUAUUAAUAUUACAUGUAAAUGUUUCAAUACUUAGUGCAAACUUUUCUAAUCGGGGUUGAACAUGAGAGAUCAGCCUAUUUGUUAUUGUUGGGUUUGGUCAAUAUAAAAUAUUCUCAGUUAUGUUUGGUGUUGAGUGGAGGGGAGAAGUGUCAUGGAGUGGAAAACAUGAUAUGAUGGACAAUGUAUCUUUCAAUGUUUUUUUACUGUAAGAUCUAUUAUGUAAAUCAGAUGAAAUGAGGGGAUAAUUGGUGGAAAGAUGGUUUGUGCGAUCAGUGAAUAAAAUUUGGUAGGUGCUUGUAUAACAAUCUGAUAGCACUAGAUUUUGAAAUUUGUAAGUGCAAGUCUUAGAUUUAGUAACUGAAUCUUGGUCGAUAAUACAGUACAUAAACUUGCACUGAUGACCAUACUUCUGGACAAUUAUUAAUGUGUAGCAUGUGUUUCUUGGAUAUGGGCUGCAGCUACCAAGUUAUGCAGUUUAUAUACUGCCUCUGGAUUCCUAGAGGAUAUGUAGUGACAGAAAUGCCCCUUAUCCUUAGCUUUCUUAGAAAAGUUAUAUAUAUAUAUAUAUAUAUAUAUAUGGAUGAAAUAAUUGUGAUUUAUCGAAAAGAAAUAUGUAAAAGCUUUUAUUUAAUGUACUUAUUUUAUGAUAAAAUAUAAGAUAUUGGGGACUUAUGGUGAUUGCUUUGGUAUAAUGAAUGUGCUUGUGUGUUUUUCUUUAAGCAAUUACAGUUGCUGCCAAUCACCCCUCAAGCGCUGACCAAUUCGCCUGUUAUACAACUGCAAUUUUAUAAUUUGUUGGAACAAGAGGACCUUAUGACUAUGUGAUGUAUCAGGGAGAUUUGGUGCUUAAUGCAGUUUAACUUGGCUGCUGAAAAUUUAUCCAGUCUAUAUGAUAUGUUGCUUUGGUACAAUUUGUACUGAAAUCUAGAUUUUAUUCUUAUUAAAUAAAUAGUGUAGAAAUUAUAUGUUAUUCAAUAGAAAACACAACAUUGGAUGCUUUUAAAUAUAUAUAAUUACUAUUUUUAAAGCCUUGAUAAUGAAGAGUACAUUUCAUAUUAUCAACACCCUUUUUUAAGAUUUUUUUUGAUGAUGCUGCAGCACUGUUAGAAAUAUUAUAAAAGUAGAAUGAGAUGAGAUCUAGUGCAGAAAGAGAAUGAUAACUCUAGCUUUCUGUCUUCUAACAACUCAGCUCAUUUGCUUUCAUUUUCUCUGCAUAAUGAGGUUUGUGUGUGACUUGUUUUUAUGUUUUCAAGGACAAAAUUCAAAUAUAAUAGAGAACUAUGAUUGAAUUAGUUCUGGUGGUGAUGAGUAAAUGUAUACAUGUUAGACAAUUUUUUACAGAGAAGAGAUAAAUUUGUUGAAAUGUGUUUCAUUCAUAAGAACAUUGGUCACAUAAAACUAAACGUGCACUCUCUACAAGUCAUUUAACAUUGGUCACAUUCUUGUCCUCAAGGAUGAACAUUCCCAAGUACCAUGCAAAGUCUUCCAUUUGAGUAGAACAAUAGGAACAUGAAACACUUUCCAUGUUGACACAAGCUGAAAUUGGAGAAAUGGUAUAGAUUGGAGUGCAAUUUAGGCUCCCUGCAACAUUUCUAAGAUCAAACCUCCAGUUUUGUAAGGACCUCAAGUUUUGUAAGGACUUCAGUAGAAGAAAUUGUCCUCUAAAGAUAAUUUUCCUAUGCAAAAUAGCCAUUGUUUCAAUAAGUUUGAAAAUUGACUGAAGACUAUACUGUGACAGAUGGUUGCUAGAUAAUUGCUUUGAAAUUGUGCGAUAAUAUUACCUAAAACUCAUAUUAAGAGCUAUUGAACAUCAUACUUAUUACUUAAAACUCAUAUUAAGAGCUAUUGAACAUUCAUCAAAAUCAUCUAUUCCAUUUCUCCUUUAUUCUGCAAAAUCAACAUUGAAUCGGGACUUGUCUUCAAUAAUUUGCUUGCCUGCACCCACAAACACCAUGUAAGUUUCUACUCUCUUUUAGACUUUGUUUCGAUUUAAACACAUCAUUUUGUGUUUCAAAGUUUGCAUCUUUAGGUUUUUUGGAGUCAUUUGUUUUGUGAUGUGGAGGGAUUUGAGGUGUGGAAUUUUUUAGGGCUUCGAAUUUUGAAGAGAAACUUUCCAAAAAAUUUGGAAUUUUUCUUGUUUUAAUUUGGUUAUGUCGGUUUAAUUUGGGGUAUUUGGUUACCUUAAGGUGUAUAUAUGAAGUAUAAUGAUGUUUUGAAGUUAGUUUGUAGUUAUGGUUGUGCUCUACUGUUGAGAAUUUUGUGUAGAAUUGCAUUUUUAGAGUUGAUCUUUUCAAGGGUCUUUUGAUUAUUCUAUGGAAUUAAUGCAAACAUAAUUUUAAAGUUGAGUGAUUUUUUUAUUCUUGGCUGGUUAAUUAUUCCUCCACACGAGCUGAAUAGUGGUGUUUGACUUUUAUUUUUCUGCUGUUUAAAUUGUAGGUUUUGGAUUUUAGAUUUUGGAUAUAUGGUUAUUUGCAUUGAUUGUUCAUAUAACUUGAGAUACUAGUUAUUUAUAUUAAUCUCUUUGCACUAUAUUAAUCAGUGAGAAGAACUAUCAUAUUUAGAGUAUUAGUUUCCUUAAUGUGCAUAUGAAGUGUUUGCAAAAUUUCCUAAGUAAGUAUUAGUGUUUAGACUCGGGAGUUCAUGAGAAAUUAUUACUAGUUGUGUUAUUAUUCAAAUGUUACUUUUGCAUUUAAUUGGAAUUUAUUAUUGAGAUAUAUGAACUAUGUUUGUGUGUGGUUAUGAAAUUGGAAAUAAGGAAGUCAUUCUUGUUAAGUGCUCCUUGGCCAUGAACCUUAUUGGGUUUUUUUUAUAUUCACUUAACUCUUCGAUUCUACAAUUCCAAGCGAAGAAUAAAUAAGUAUAUAAUGACUUGUGGUUUGCCAUCUAUGUUAUCCUCUUUGGCCUUAUUCUUCACUUCAUCUUUCAAAUAUAUCUAUGACCUAUGACAUAUUAUUUGAUCUCUUGAAGUCUACACAAUUAAUAUUUGAUAAUAGAAAGGAAAAUGUUGGAUAUUGUUUUCAAGUUGUUAUUUUCUGUUAAUAUUUUGAAGUUAAUUAUCACACUCAAUUUUUGGUUCUAGGGUACAUGUUUGGCACCAAAGCUUGAGAACCAAGUGUGUUUAUGAUAUCUUUACUUUCUCAAUUUUCUAUGUUUAUAGUUUCUUUUAGGUUGAUUUUUAUAAAUGCACCAAAAUCAUCUCAUUAAUCAGGAAUGUGGAAUAAGCUAUGUGGAGGACAUACUACCUUCAGUGACUCAUGAUAUUUGUAUUGUCAAUUUUAUACAACCAGGGGAUGACUUGGUCUCCUAUCUCCAUCAAGUCAGCUUACUUUGCUAUUUGGCAUCUUUUAUAUAAGAAAGAAAUAACUCCUUUAAUUUCACCCUUUGUCCCCGACAUAGUUCUCCGACGAUGCCCCUUGGGAGAAAGGGGACACCAUUCUCUUUCUUUCUUCAAUUGUUUCGAUCAAGACAAGUGGGUUGGUUGUUUUCAUCCUUCUAUCUACGCAAUUCUUUGUCUUCGUUCGUAAUCACGUUGGGCGAAAGGUAGUUAGUUAUAGAGAAGGGACCGUGAAACGACGAUUCCCCCCUUUCCAUUGUAGUAGGGGGACCUCCUUCCCCAUCAUUCCACCCUAUUAUUGAUAGAGAUUUUAUCGAUGAUGAAGGUAGCUUGCUUACCUGCCACCCACUUGAUAAGCUAUUUGUCAGAAAGAAGCGGCGAAGACGCGAAGCUGUCUAUAAAGCUUCCCUCUCCCAUAGAGUUGAAGUACUCGGUGCUACUUUGAUUCAAAAGAUAACCGACAAUUCUCGACUUUUUUGGGUUUCUGCAAGUGUAAUCGUUUGUCACUCCGAUUACUUCAUCCAUAAACCUUUUUUACAAUUGCGGUAUACUAAAAAAAGAAAAGGAUAAACUUGCAUUUCUACAACCUCAUUCAGUGAUCAAAGUUCCCUUCCCUUUUCUAAAAUGUUUGAUUGGUCUUCCUCAACAAAUAUACAAAGUGGACUGAUGUUUGGCUUACCAUCUUCUUCCCAUUCGAGUUGGGUUGACCAAGAAGUCAAGUAAGAAGGAAAGAACAACUGGAGAGUCGUUCUCAAUUGACACUUGGGCAAAGGCUUCAUACCGACGCCUCACUACUACUUAAUUAAUGGCUAAGCAAUGUCAAAACCUGAGUUUCCCUUAACUAGCUGACCUUACUUCGUAACCUUAACGUACUUUCUUUCUUACUAUAUCAUAGGUCUUCACCACUUAAAAUGAGCGCUUUGCCUUUUCUUUUUUUUAUUAGAAAAAAUGGGGCUUUACUUUCAGUUCAGGGAGGAUGAAAGACAAAGAAAGGGAUCAAGGUGCUUAUUGAUCGAAGAAAGGGAAUGGACUUACUGGACCUAACUGAGAAUGAGACAUAAAGGGAUAACCUGACCUUAUCUUGAGUGAGAGAGGCAAGUCGCAAGGCAAAGAGCAUAGUCGUUUUCGUGUUUGUGGGUGAACGAACAUGAUUUAUAUGUCAUUCAAAGCCUAAAGUUAGUAAGUCAAAGAGUAUGAAUACCAUCUCUAGUACUAAUACCUAUACCAACAACAUGAAAUUCAAUAAACAAACAACUCUCCCAAAAUAGACUAGCGACGACAAGAUAGUCAGUCUAUUCCCCUUGCUUCAUUCAUAAGUAAGAUCACUUUAUCCUUUCUGGGACUUUCCCUUAAAUCAGUUAAUUAGGUAUGAGAAGGUCUCCCCUCUAGUCUAUAGUAGCCCUUCUUCCUCUAACCCUGAGAUCCAAUGAGACCGGUCGUGCCAAGCGAGUCCUAUAACUGUUUCGUUAAUAACAGAGGAUAUCCCUUCAACAAUUAAAUUUUAAGAUGGCACUUGCACUUGGGUUGGAAACUUUCCCUUAUCUAUGGCUAAUUCCUCGUUGGCCAAUCACCUUUCACUUGGUUCUAUAAAGAAAUAAAUUUCUCUGUGUGAGCUUCUAAUUCUGACAACAGCUAAAUCUAGGGCACUGCAUAAGGAAUAAGGAGGAGAUUCCCUGGUAUGAAUUCAAUUGAUUGGGCAUUUAUCUUGGAGCGAUGAUUCUUGGCCACUUCCUAUUAAGAUAAGGUUUCCCAUCCGAAGUCUUUGCUGCUGUUAAAGGAUUUGUUUCGCUACGCCCCUCUUCCUGAGGCCUUAGCUUCGUGAUUAGGAAGCUUAUUUGUUAAAAUCCUCAUGUCUUUUCUUUCAGAUGAACGAAUUAGACUGAACCACUGUAGAAUUUUCAACUGCUGGCAAUGAGCUACUAUUUCGCUCCACUACGGGAUGACAAGCUUAUAUCUCUCAAUAGUUGCAUCGGAUCUUUCCUGAAAGUUGGGCAAGGUGCAAAGCGAACUCAUAUCGUCGUAUACUCAGGGUGCGUAAGCAUUCUAAUCCUACUUUUUCGUUUAGAUUAUGCCAAAAAGACAAGGAAAAUGAUCAACUGUCCUAUUUUGAUUCCAGUUUAGACAGGGCUAAAAUGAAAUUUCAUCCAAAAAGACCAAGAAAACCCUCAAUUGGUAGGAUUGAGCUGUCACUUAAAAGGUAAAAUUGAUUGCUUCAAAUUUUCUUGAUAAAAUGGCACAUUGACAUUAAAGAUAAUCGGCUAGCUAUGGGAUUAAAUGAAGAGAAUAAUUCAAGGAUAGCUAUGGCAACUCUUUUCCCCACAAUGCUCUAGCUGGAUUGAAAGAAUUCAACAAUAAAAUUGUCAUGUCCUUGUGCCUUAUUUGUUUGCCUUUAGAAAGAUUGUCUUCUUAACAUCAUCAACAGUCAUAAGAGCCACAAAUGUAGAUCCUUGCUCAUCGGUGAGAAAAUGGCUUAGCAAUGAUUUGAUCUCUUCAAUGUCACCACCUCAACCAUUGUUAUAUGCAGUUCCAAGGAAAUUUUGGAAAUGUUGCAAGAAUUCCUUUUUAAUCAAAACAUGAUCCUCAAUCUCAUGUAGUAGAGGUGAUAGAUAGAAUUAUGCUCUUAACAACUUUGACUUUGAUAACUCUGUGAAAAUAACUAGUGUUUUGGUCACCAGCUUCAAGCCAGUUUACUUGAGUUUCUGUUUCUUAAACAACUCCUCAGGCGGGACACUUGUUUUCUAUCUUUGAAUGGUUUACCUACAGAGCAGAGGGUUAAGGCUUUCACCUUCUUUUCAAAUCAAAGAAAGGAGAGCUCAAACCUUUCCCACCUCCAUCAGUUUUUAGUAUUAAUUUCUUUUAUCCUUUUUAUUUUAAGCGUACUUAACCUGAACCUUGUUUAUGAGUAAAGCAAUAUUUGGAAUAUUUCCUAAUCCGCUUUCUCUUUUUCUUAUGCCUUGGGAGCCCAGUCUUUAGGAGAAACAACUGCUCAUUCGUGACUAAGGAAUGAAUGUCUGGUUAUGUCAAACUAUAUGUAAUAUAUUUUCCCUAUCGGAGUUGGAGAUAAGUACACGGGUUAUAAAAUAAAGCUUUGACAUAUCCAUCGAUCACAUUACGUGCACAUAGCCCUUCUCGAUUGGUCGCUUUUCGCCCUACCUCUUUUGUUAAGACCAUUGUCAUGUCCCUAGACAUAGCAUGUUUAGGAACAUAUUCUAGAGAUUGUGUGCGAAGAGUGGGACAUUUCUCUGAAUAGCGAAGGUGUAAAGGCUCAACUAAAGAUCUUCUUUCGGUUCUUCCUUUUCUAACCUAAGAGACCUGCUACUUUGUUUUUUCCAUUCGCUACUUUUUGUAAUUGCUGUCAUGGGUGGAAAUUGAUCAUAUCUAUUUCGCGUGGUUCUUCUCUAAAGGAACCCUCUAGUGAAAUAAAUAAUUAUUAAUCUUCUUUCUUGGUCUUCUCGGUUCUUAGGUGAGUAGAAAUGGGUCGAUAAAAGUCCAUUCUGUCUACGAGUCUAUGGAAAGCUAGUCGGUACAUCGUUACGAAUUAAUAGCAAAUCCCUUUCUCAUUUCAACCAUUGGUGAUUGCCCAUCUACAUGAAUAAGAAUGAGGAAUGACUUAUUUUCCAAUAGUUAUUGCCUUACGCUUUCUAGUCUCAGGAAAAGAAUAGCUCUUUAUGUCAAAGUUGAUAAGGAUAAAAGUCCAAUAGCUAGGGUGGGCUUGUCAUCUGUUCUCAACUCGGGGAGGAAAUAAAUAAGCAUGGAUUCACCUAUUCCAAUAAUAAAAAAAGGAAUAUGCACUUAUUUUAGGUUUAACUUUUGAAAAAGACAAGGCCUUACAACAACUCAUUCUCGGAAGAAAAAAAAAAGAUAUUAGUCGACUAUUAGGAAAGUUAUGAGUUCUUUCAUUCAUUCUAGCUCUUAGAGAUGAAUGAAGAUAUAAUAGAGAAAAGGCUUAUACACGAGGGACUUAUGCCUUUCUUUUCGGAUCAAUGACACAAGGAGUUACUCAGACUUGUAGUUAGGGCCUUUGCCAAAGGAAUAUGACCCCUUCUAAGCGAGUCAAUCCUAGUAGUGGAAGGGAAUUUAUUUCUUUAGUAGUUUUCUUUCAUCUGAAUUAGUAGUUUCAGAUGGAUUCGUCUUUUAUGUAAAUAGCCCACUGGAACUAAAAUAUAGUACGGUUCCACCUCACAAGGAGAACCAACAAUAUAUUGAAGAUCAACAUGGCUUAUUCAAGGAGAAAUGAAUGUGAAAAGAAAUAGCAUUUGUGUUAAGGCACAAGGUCCUGUAUCGGGACUUUCUGGUUGGAUAAAAAAAGAGCCCCAAAGAAAACCAGUAAGCUAAAUAGGAAAAAGGUUAAGUUUCAGUUAAGACUUUUGAGGGAGCUUAAGGUAGUUUACUUGUUUACCUGUUAGAGUUAGUCAAAUUCUUGUUUAAAAUCCCUUACUUACCAAGGAUUUUAAUAUAUAUUAAAAACCAAAUGAGAUAGACACAAACAUCUAUCUUUUGCCAUUAGUUAUAAACGAUGGAGCGAGAAUAUGACUGAAAGAUUGUAUAGGUCCACAAUGGAAAAACUAAAUCCAAACAAGCUUUGUUAGAGGAACUUCCCUUAUAGCAUUUCGUCGUGGAAGUACAGUUUUCUUUAGUAAAAGGAUAUAAAUCAAGCCACAAGAGAAGAGAUCAUUAACAUCGAAAUCCUCCUUAGCACAAGCACUAAGUAAGCUCCCAACCUCUCCCUUCCGGUAGAGCACUUCGUUUUCCAGUUUUUUCCAGAAAUUCUUGAUAGAUUACUGUCAAAUAGGUUUUUUUGUUGCUUCCUUAUCGACAUACAGGGGGUUAGCACUAAGAAAGAAAAUAAGACAAUAAAGAUCAAUACUCAGUUAUAAGGAAACUAAGCAUCCAACCCUAAGAAGAAGAAAAAAGGAUAGUACCGUUAGUGUCAUCACUUAAUCAGGUGCAUCUAGGUUGGUGGAAACUAGGUUCACGUGUCAAAGAAUAUCUUCGUUAUGGAGUCCCUUCUAAGCAUGCUCAUGAUAUGGGCAACACAUAUGACAGGCGAUCAGGGAAUUUUCUUAAUAUACUACCAGACUUAUCACACGACUAUAUGGCCAAAGAUCAAGUCUCCAACCAAACUUCCUUAUCUACUUUGAAACAAAACAUUUCAACUUAAUUAAAAUGGCUUAACGAUGCCAUUGUCUGUACACGCUUUACUUAUCCCUUAUUUAGGAUUGGUUAUUUUCUCACACUGAAACUUAGUUUCUCUAAUUCCAAUUGGAGCAAUGUUGGGAACUUGCAUUCCUGAUAACAAACAAAAGUUGGAUUCUAUCUCUUCCAUCUAUGAAGCGUAUGAUCCUUCGGCAGCUCUGGAGGUUUCGAAACCAAAGUAGCGAACUUAGCAGUCCCGACUCGAGUCAAGCUUCAUCCUUGGAAGAAGACCUUCCAACAUGAUGACCUCAACUUUAUGGUUGUAGCUGGUAGACCUGUCUACCCAAGACAAAGUUCUCAAUAUUCCUGAAAGGGAAACGACAUAACAAGCAUGCUACGAAUCCCUCAAUCAAGAUUGAAAGUGAGUUUCAGGGAUCUUAGGGUGAAUAGAUAGAAUACCGGAAUAUGUAUUCCUAUAAUGAGGUAAGUCGUGUUUUUCGGUAAGGGCUAAUUCAAAGAUCUUGGUGAAUAGGGCGCAAGAUAGGGACCUCCUUGAUCGAAAUUUGAGCCACCCUGAACUUUGGCCAGGCCCCGGUUCGUAGGGUUAGAUUAUUCCAUAUUAUUUAUAAGCAUACUCAUAUCAGAUCUAAACUAGUCGAUUCUCUUUCGCCUAUCGGCCGACCGAUUUUAAGCAACCUUCGCAUUUGCUGAGAAGAUCCUAAGUCUCCAAGUGGGCCUUCUUGGCCACUCACAACCUUGGAUUUUUAGAGAAUCCUGCUCUUGUGUCGUCGGACUUGUAGUUCGACAGUCCACUAGGUGGGUUUGUUUAUCCUUCCAGUUUCGAGUGUCUUCUUGGAUAGUUAUAGCGGCCCAUAGACGCAAGAUGUACCUUGUGUGUGUGUGUUGGUGGGGGGUGGUCCACGGGACAUAGUUCUUUCAGGCAGUGACCGUUUAGUCCAUGGUACACUAGAUGGUCAGUGCAAGGCUAGAAAUUGGAAUACAUUGAUUCCACUCAUUCAUGUCCUUCACUUCAGGGCAUGUCCCUCUGUGUGGUCAUUACUACAUACUAUCAGGUUGUGAAGCUUAUGAAGUAGCAAUUUACAAGAAAAGGGAUUUGAAUUGUAAAUUUACCUAUUUAAAAUUUCAUGUAAAAAUUAUCUCAAGAUUGAUCUUGGUUGUAAAAAGCAGAAAAUGGAGAAUGUUCUUGGUAAACCAGAAGACGGAGAACAUUUUUGGUUAGUUGAAAUUAACAAUUUUAGCUUUUCUAUUUAACUUGAUAAUUAAAAUACUGCAAGUAAAUAGAUAAGUGAAGAGAUAUAACAAACAUAUAUAUCCUGAUUCACCCAAUAUGAGUUACGUCCAGUUCUCAUAAAUGUGAUAUUUUCUACUAAGUGUUCAAAGCAAGAAUGUUCUUGGUUUUCACACAACGUUUGCAUAUCAAUCUUGAUCUUGUUACAACUUACUACCUUUCAACUUAGAAAGGAUUUCCACAGAUCUACCUUUCAAUCUUUAGAAAUGAUUUACACACUACAUUUCACACACAACAGGAUUUUUACAAAAAUUUCUCAAGCUAUUUCAACACAAUAGUCUUGAGUUUAUAAAGGGAUGAUUUAAAGGGUAUGAUAGAAUCCGAACAUGCUCAAUUCGUGUUUGAGAAUGGAUUCUGAUUUUAGAACUCAACAAUGAUUGAAACUUAUAGUCAAUUGAGAACUGGGCUGAAAGAUGUUUUGACAAUCUCAAAGAAUUUCAAAUAUGAUUGCAAAUGAAGUAUUGCUUGCUUUCUUGAGUUCAGAUUUUUACUUCAUCAUAAAGUCCCUUUUAUAGGCUUCAAGAGAUCUUAUGACAGCUCAUUUGUCCGUUGGGAGUAGUCCAGCUGUCAUAUGGCAGUGAGUGGAUAAGAUCAAUCAUAAAGCAAAAGUGUUGUUGGAUUUGGGCAGCCUUGCUUUUUGAAAAUCAAGAACGAUCUUCGUGCUUGCUUUGUGGUAAUUGAGUUUUGACUUUAACUUGACAUAUGCAUGAAGUGUUAUUCAUGCUUUGCAACACAUGUACAUACUAUUAAAUAUUGCACGAUUGUUCUGUGUAAA